AUCCAAACCCCCCCCCCUCCUCUCCUCCUCCACCCUGCUGAAAAAACCACACUCCACUCCCUUUCAAAAAAAACACCCCCCAAUCACCACUUCGUACCGCUCAAUCAAUUUCCACCUAUUCAGACCUUCUACCACCCCUGCGCCCCCACCCGCCGCAAAACCUGCCGAACAAGACGCCCCACCCACCCACAAGCACACCAUCGAACCUCCAACAAGCUUCAGCGUCCCCGUCAUCGAUCUGAAUACCAAAACCCCAGUAGACACAAUCGAAUUGAACGCCUUCAUCUUCGGCACCCAAGUCAGAAAUGACAUUCUCCACCGAACCGUAGUUUGGCAAAGAGCCAAGUUGCGCGCCGGCACGGCAAAUUGCAAAGGACGCGGCGAAAAAUCUGGCAGCACGCACAAAGUCAGACCGCAAAAGGGCACCGGAAAAGCGCGUAUGAGCACCAUUCGCGCUCCUGGUAGAAGAAAAAGUGGAAAAGCCCACGGACCCCAUCCAAAAGACUGGUCCUUUUCCCUCAACAAAAAAGUCCGCCGCCUUGCUCUCAGAUGCGCCCUAUCCUCUAAAUUCUCCCAAGGAAAUCUCAUGAUCUGCUCUUCGUUCGACUUACCCGACCACAAAACAAAAAUGCUGCGCCAAAUUGCAGAACAUUUCAAUUGGCACCGAGGACACGUGCUGGCCAUAGAAGGCUCCGCUCGUAAAAGCAAAAACUUCGACCUCGCGUCGAGAAACAUGAAAUUCAUUCAAUUCAAACUGAAAAACGGAUUCAGUGUAUAUGAAAUACUCAAACAUAAAUACCUAGUACUCGACCUCAAAGCACUGUCUUAUCUGAAUACUGUAAUAAAAGAAUACUAACCAUAGCGGCGAAAACACGUACCUCGUCGCUACAGAAACUUCGCACCUGUCAACACAUCAAAAAAAAUCCGAUACAACCCUUUUACACUUUUGCCCCAACCGCAUCCUCUCUCGCCAAUGAGCCUGGCGCGCAUCUGGUCCACGCUGUUCCCACGUCGAAUUCGCAUCCGCUCCAAAUAAACAAAACAUACCAAAAAAAAAGCCCCCGCAAACGACUAUGGAUCAAUUCCAAUUCUUCCUGCCUCGACAAGGCACCCUCCUCUCUGCGCAAAUGCGCUCGCGCCAAAUAAUCGCGCCAAAACUCAUCUCAGAACUCACUCAAAAGUCAAACGCACCGAAUUGUAACAGGCGUCUAUGCCAACGCCCAAUGAGAAGAAAUGAAUAAACUGCCAAAAAAAUAAAAAAAAAAAUCUGAAGUUUAUAAAAUUUCAGAUGAAACAUGGAUAAACUACAAGCCAGUUCCGUACAGCCUCUAAAUUUAAACGCCUUCGUAAAUGGCCAGGACGACGAAAGCUUUAAAAAUUACAUAAAUGAUCCGAACAUCCCAAGAGACGCCAAAGUGAUGGCCGCGAUACUCAAAACGAGCGGCGUUUACAACUACGACCCAAAGGUCAUUAACCAGUUGUUAGAGUUCAUGCACCGGUAUCUCACAGAUAUUCUGAUAGACUCGGAUGACUACAGAGAGCAUUCCGGAAAACCAAAUAUUGACAUAGACGACGUGAGACUCGCCAUCCAGACAAGAGUUAGCCAUUCUUUUGUACAGCCACCCCCUAGGCAGGUCAUGUUGGAGAUGGCCAGAAUCAAAAACUCGCAGCCUCUGCCUGCUGUCCCCGUCACGUCGAGACAUUCGUGUGUCAUUUGGCCCAACGAACGCCUAGCCACUCCCAGUUUCCAGGUCGAGCCCCUCAAACGGGAAAGUGCAUCGGCCAAGCCUAGCAGCGACAGCAUGUCGGUCGAUCAGUAAAAAAAAACAGACUGGCUUCUGUCGAAAGACAAAUUGGCGACAGAACGUAAAAAAUGAAAAAAAUCUUUUGUAAUAUGACAAUGCGACAAGUUACGUGUAGUCUGCCGUACAUAAUAGAAACUUUAUUGAUAUACAGCGCAUGCAGAAAAUAGGUGAUGCGACCCACUGUUCCCAGGGGUAGAGAGAAGGGUGAUGUGAAGAAUUCACACACGUCUAAGAUUGGUACAACUCCUCUUUUCUGUCAAAGGGCCAAAAUGCACCUCUUCUACACCUUUUAUGGGUUAGAUCCGGUAGAGACCUUUUCCCUUCCUGCCAACCGAACAAUCAGGAAAAAUACGAGGUAGACGAGUGUGAUGAUCAUAGAUGCAAACCCUAAAUCACCAGCUAAACCCAAACAAAGUAUGGCCAUUCUUGUUAAAAAAUAUAAAUGUCAGCAAAAAAAACUCGGGUAAGCAUAGAAAGGUAGAAUACAGGUUUAUGAUUCGUACAUAGCGUAGAGAAAUGACUUGAAAUAAGUGCUCUGCGGCAUAAUUGAAACGUUGGUCACUAUUCUAGGAUUCAGCUCCCCGACCAUAGUAAAGGCAGACAAAAUACUUUACAUCUAGGUUAGUGCAGAACUUCGACAUGGAAUAAGUCGUAGAGAUGCGUACAUAAGUGCUACUGAAGAGAAAAAGAUAGCAUAUCCUCCAUUCACGUUCAUAGUCGUGCUGCCCUUAACUCCGAGACGGAGGCUAAGAUCUCCUACGUUUGCUCUAACGCAUCCCACUAUGCCAGUACUCAAAUCGAGCAAGCAGAUCAAGAUGCUGAACAUCAAGAGAAUGUUCGCGAGGUUAAUUUCAGCCAUUGUUCUUUCUAGAAUUUACUACCUAAAAGUCUUGUAAAGUUUUUUAUAUAAAACCACAAA